rnacentral:rRNA from 1 species
AACACAUGCAAGUCGAACGGUAACAGGAAACAGCUUGCUGUUUCGCUGACGAGUGGCGGACGGGUGAGUAAUGUCUGGGAAACUGCCUGAUGGAGGGGGAUAACUACUGGAAACGGUAGCUAAUACCGCAUAACGUCGCAAGACCAAAGAGGGGGACCCUCGGGCCUCUUGCCAUCGGAUGUGCCCAGAUGGGAUUAGCUUGUUGGUGGGGUAACGGCUCACCAAGGCGACGAUCCCUAACUGGUCUGAGAGGAUGACCAGCCACACUGGAACUGAGACACGGUCCAGACUCCUACGGGAGGCAGCAGUGGGGAAUAUUGCACAAUGGGCGCAAGCCUGAUGCAGCCAUGCCGCGUGUAUGAAGAAGCCCUUCGGGUUGUAAAGUACUUUCAGCGGGGAGGAAGGGAGUAAAGUUAAUACCUUUGCUCAUUGACGUUACCCGCAGAAGAAGCACCGGCUAACUCCGUGCCAGCAGCCGCGGUAAUACGGAGGGUGCAAGCGUUAAUCGGAAUCACUGGGCGUAAAGCGCACGCAGGCGGUUUGUUAAGUCAGAUGUGAAAUCCCCGGGCUCAACCUGGGAACUGCAUCUGAUACUGGCAAGCUUGAGUCUCGUAGAGGGGGGUAGAAUUCCAGGUGUAGCGGUGA